CCUACGGGUGGCAGCAGUAGGGAAUAUUGCUCAAUGGGGGAAACCCUGAAGCAGCAACGCCGCGUGGAGGAUGAAGGUUUUCGGAUUGUAAACUCCUUUUGUUAGAGAAGAUAAUGACGGUAUCUAACGAAUAAGCACCGGCUAACUCCGUGCCAGAAGCCGCGGUAAUACGGAGGGUGCCAGCGUUACUCGGAAUCACUGGGCGUAAAGCGCGCGUAGGCGGGUUAGCAAGUCAGAUGUUAAAUCCUAUGGCUUAACCAUAGAACUGCAGUUGAAACUGUUAUUCUAGAGUAGGGGAGAGGUAGGUGGAAUGCUUGGUGUAGGGGUAAAAUCCGUAGAGAUCAAGAGGAAUACUCAUUGCGAAGGCGACCUGCUAGAACAUAACUGACGCUGAGGCGCGAAAGCGUGGGGAGCAAACAGGAUUAGAUACCCCAGUAGUC
rnacentral:rRNA from 1 species